UUCGUAUAUAUAUAUAUAUAUAUUAUUAUACAAAAUGUUGAAUUGACCGUGGCGUCUCUUAGGGAACGAGGCGUUUAGAAUGGCCGUUUAUUAUAUCAUUUGCGGUACGAACACGCCCGCACGGAAAAAGGAACUGUAGCUAAAAAUAGGACGUCUCCGAUCUGUCGAAUGGGGAGAGUAUAUGCAAGCAAAUUAUACUGGAUUCUGUUUUUUGAAAUGGCGAUCGGACAAUUUCAGAAUAAUUUAAACCAUUUGCCGUGCGUGUAGUCAUGUACCGCGUAUGUAUAAAAAACGCAUAACUGUAAAACAGCCUUAUGUAGUUAAAGGGAAAAUGGCAACAUAAAUUUUUAUUUUCUCAUUUGAAAAAACUUUUGAAACUAUAUAUUAACUUCUUUUACCGAUUUUUCAUAUCUUGCUUAGUUCUUGAAAUAUUUUCACUUGAAGUAAUGAGAUGUCCGCCAUCUUGGAUAAAUUUUUUAUCUCAUUAACGGUAGUUUUGGUGACAACAUGGAUUAACCAUAUAAAAGUAUUCGUUGCUGACCAAAUAUUGAUUGCUAGAUGUUUUAAAGGUUUUGAGUGAUCUUGAUAUUUCGAAGGGCAGACAGAGUAUAAUUUUGCGUGCAAAAUGAUUAGUAUUUGUCUAGAUAAAAUAUUGUGUGGCACCUGUUGUGACGUGACAUGCAUAUCUACAAAGCCCCCCCUCCCCCCACCCCCCUACAAAAAUUGAAGAUGGCGGACAUUUCAUUCCUUUCCAUCAAAAUAUUGGUUGAAGUAAGCAAGAUAAGAAAAAACCCAGUAAAAGAGUAUUAAUAUAUAGUCUUAAGAGUUCUUUCAAAUGAGAAAAUAAAAAAUAUAUUGCCAUUUCCUUUAAGAUAACUGAUGUUGGGUGCACUGUUAGGCAUAACUAGUUGUGGUCGUCAAAAGUUAAUUUGUAGUCCGUAUAGUUCAGUAGUUGAUUAAUGUAAUUUAUAUACAAAUAGAGUGAUCACUGUCGCCUAGUUUGGCCAGUUAGGGGUGGACCAUUAGAAAAGUGAUGGGGGGAGGGGGGGACUUUUUCAACUUGUACGAAUAUUUUUUUUUAAUUUUUGCUUGUUUCGAUAAUUUUUUUAAUUAAAUAUAAUCCCUUGCACGAUUUUUUUUUUAUUUCUACUUAUAAUUUUCCCUAUUGAAAAGUCUCCUGCACGAAUUUUUUUUUUUAAACUUUUUUGGUCCACGAAUUUUUUUUCUUUCUGUUUCCCCUGCUCGAUUUUUAUUUUUGCUUCCCCCCAUCACUUUUCUAAUGGACCGCCCCUUAGGCCUCUAGGUUUGAAACAUUGAACUGAGUUUGACGUAAAUUUAAUAUAUAUUAUCCAUAACUCUUUUGAAAAUUAAACUGUAUUUGAAACAAAAACAUGGACUAACCUCGAAUUAUUAUAGGGCGAUUGAAUGCUGUGAUUUUCAGAUUGCAAAUUAAAGCGUAGUGCUGUCGUUUAAAAUAAAGGUCGUCAGAUUUAGAUUAGGGUUAGAUUAAGGUCCGAUUAAGAUUAGAUUAGGGUUAGAGGGUCGUGGUUAAGGUUGGGUAUAGGGUUCAAAUUAAGGCAAUGUCUUAAUUUCGGCAGCACUUUUUGACAAUGUGUUCUUACCCAACCAUUAAUUCAAAGCAAUUAGAGCUAUCAAAUUACUACAAUACCUUAUAGCUUGAAUACCUUAUACCAAUACCUUAUACCUUGAAUUUGAAAGGGUUCAUUUUUUAUAUACACACUGUAAAUCAUAUUACUGUUGUUGUACUGUACUUGUAAAAUAAAAACUUAUUAAGUGUCAUUAAAUAAAUGCAUAAAUUUUGCUUUAUGCACUCGCGUGUGCAGCAAUUUUGACAGUUGUGCUAUUUUAAAUUCCCAUGCAGGCACCUAAAAUCUUUUGUCCAUAAAACAAUGUCGAUUUCUUGGGAAAUUCCGAGGUUGCGGUUUUUUAUCAAAAAAAGAAGACCUUUAGAAAUUGUCCUAUUGUUAUAAUUUCAAUGUCUGAAAUGUGCUAAGUGUACGGAUGUGUAAAAUAUUGACAGCUACGUGCAUACAUUACAAUAUCUUUGUUGUAUGCACAAGCGAACAGUACUUUGUGUUGAAAGAAAUGGGGUCGGGCCACGUCGAAGAACACGGUGCUCGAUAUUUUGAUAGAUAUAAAGUUUUAUUUGAUACUUGUAUUAAGGCUUAAGCGCUACGUUAAAUUAAUGAGCAAGUACAUUAAUUCAUAUGUUGACAUGUUGGAUGAAAUGGAAAAUCUUUUAAAUAAUUCCAUGCAUAAAAUUCAAUUAAAUUUGGUCGGACCUCUACUGAAGGUCUUAAAAUAAUUGAGCUACCUUUACAUUGACAUCAGUAAGGUUAGACUUUCGCGUCGUCUCGGAUAAGGACGUUAAAAUCGUAGGCACCUCGGAUCCCUUCGGAUAAACAAGUCUGAUGCAUGUAUUUUUUUUCAAACCCUUUUUGUUUGCAUGAAUUGUUUUUCUGUUUUUUCCCCACACUCCCCAUCACUUUUCUAAUGGUCCGUCCCUAAUAAUCUUUUGUUGCGUCCGUUUGCGUACCUAUUUUUAAUCCUGACUAAAAUUUUUGCUGACGUUGCACCGGACAGUAGCCUGCAAGCAGACGUUCUUGUUGAGCGACGAGGCGAGUACGAGAAAGAACGUCUGCCGUCAAACAUCAAAAUUGGGAUUCCGCCCCCUUGCAUAAAUUAAUUAAAAAUUUCCCGCUAUUUCUCGGCCCCUUGCAUAAAUUAAUUAAAAUUCCCCGCCAUUCUCCUCUUAUCAAGUAUCAAAUUACAAAAUUAUGCAAAAUAUCAAACCGGAAGGUGGUAGAUACGAUGAUCAGCCAAUGAAAACCUUAGUCCAUCAUACGGACUAGAGAAUUUUUUUUAUGUUAUAAUGUCCAUAGACUGUCUACUCUCUUCCCCUCCCCUCUUUCUUCCCCCAAAGACAGUCGUGUUUACAGGCUAACCGGACAGAAGUGACAUGAUAUUUGUGUGUGUUGGUGUUAUGUACUCAGGUGAAUAUGAUGUUUGUGAUGU